rnacentral:rRNA from 1 species
CCUACGGGUGGCAGCAGUGGGGAAUAUUGCACAAUGGGGGAAACCCUGAUGCAGCGACGCCGCGUGAGCGAUGAAGUAUUUCGGUAUGUAAAGCUCUAUCAGCAGGGAAGAAAAUGACGGUACCUGACUAAGAAGCCCCGGCCAAAUACGUGCCAGAAGCCGAGGUAAGACGUAGGGGGCAAGGGUUAUCCGGAUUUACUGGGUGUAAAGGGAGCGUAGACGGCGGUGCAAGCCAGAUGUGAAAGCCCGGGGCUCAACCCCGGGACUGCAUUUGAAACUGUGAGGCUAGAGUGUCGGAGAGGCAGGCGGAAUUCCUAGUGUAGCGGUGGAAUGCGUAGAUAUUAGGAGGAACACCAGUGGCGAAGGCGGCCUGCUGGACUAUGACUGACGUUGAGGCUCGAAAGCGUGGGGAGCAAACAGGAUUAGAUACCCCAGUAGUC